rnacentral:lncRNA from 1 species
UUUGAGUCUAUUUUCCAGGAAAAAAAACCUCAUCUCAUUUGGAGCUCUGUAGAAAAAGUUAUGGGUAAAACAUUGAGCAAAGGUCAGAGUUGUCCAGUUCCAGCGUGAAUUUUAAAUUUUCCGCAUUCACUACAAAAACACUUUUCAAAACGCCCCCCUUUCAUGUUAGACUUGACUCUGAACCGCAGUUGAUCCUUGAGAAACGACCUAGGGGUCAUUCCCUAGCAUUAUACUGCAUUUCUCGUAUGCAAUCAAAUUUGUGUGGGAUGCGACAACCCAUCACAGAGACAAAUUAUAAAUAAGUUUGAAACAUAUUAUUACGUAGUUAUAAACAUCUGUCAUAAUAUAAAAAGGUUAAAAUUAUUUUUCAUGUAUUAUGACUGAUUUUUAGAAACCAUUGAUAAUAUGUCUCUCAUUUUCCCAUUUCCCUCUCAGUCUCGCUGUCCCACUAUCGCUCCUAAUUUCUCUUCAUUCUCGCCUUCUUCCACACAGCUCACCAUCAACCGUAAGCUUCGUUUGUCUUCACAGAUUCAUCAUCUAAUUUGAUAUUUCUUCAUUGCCUCAGCCUAUUCAAGAACAAAUUUCCUCUUCCAUAGAUUUUUCAUCUCCUCCUAGGGUUUUGUCAUCCUUUCACCAUUUUCUUCAAGUUUCACCGAUUAAAUCAUCUUUUGCUCUGUUUAAAAGCUUUUCCUCCGAUUGAAAACUCUUUUCCACCAUUCAAUCUCGUUUUCGAACCGAUUAAUCGGUUCAUUUUGAGUUUCCUCCUUUUCUAUGAUUCAUUCGGUCGAAAUUAGGGUUUCUACUCUAUUUAGGGUUUGUGUGAGUCCUAUCUCUAAUUUGGUUCAUUCUCCUUCAAAUUCUUUCUUCUAUUUGUGCCUAGGAUUAAUGCGAAGGUUAUCGCACUUAAGUUUUGGUAGAAUCUCUCGAUCUCUAAUUCUUCGUUAUUCCGCUGCAUUUCUUUCGCAUUUUAGUUUGAGAAAAAAUANUGAUGUGUUCCACAUGUUGUAUUGUAGAUAAACAAGCCUCCUCGUCCAUUGGCAUCAGGGGAGUAUUUGUUUUGAGACUGGUGUUAUUCUCACUGCAGCAUGAUUGAUUCUGGUAUUCUAUACAACAUUCUUCUCUUUCUAAUGCACACCAUCACUCUUAUUUGAUUUUCCACUUUUAUGAUAUAACUUCUUUUCUAUUGAGUUUAAGGAACCAAUUCGUUUCUCAUUGGAUAAUUACUUAGUAUAAAUUUCCUCGUGUAUUACAUUCCCUUUUUAAUAUCUGAAAUGGAAAGAAAGUUUAUUAAAAGCUUUUUUUCUAUAACUCUUGUCUAUGAAAUUUCGCAGCUACCCCUGUUGAGAUGGAAGAGAAUUGCAGUAGUUGCAGCCAUGUGCAUUGUAGUUGUUAAAGGAAUAAUCUUUCAAGUUUCCUAUUUUCCUCAUAUGCAGGUGGUUUGUCCUUCCAAAAAGUGCUCUCAGUUAUCAUGUAUUUGUGCAUAAAUUAGCUUUUGUACACAUAAUUGCAACACAAAUCUUUUAUCCAAGUGUUUGGGUAGGUUUAGUUUAAUUCACGAUAGAAACUAUUAUAAUAAUGAAUUUUAGGN